ACGAACGCUGGCGGCGUGCUUAACCCAUGCAAGUCGAACGGAAAGGCCCCCACUUUUUUGGUGGGGGUGCUCGAGUGGCGAACGGGUGAGUAACACGUGGGUGAUCUGCCCUGUACUUCGGGAUAAGCUUGGGAAACUGGGUCUAAUACCGGAUAGGACCAUGGUUUAGUGUCUCAUGGUGGAAAAAUUAUUGUUUUGGUGCAGGAUGAGCUCGCGGCCUAUCAGCUUGUUGGUGGGGUAAUGGCCUACCAAGGCGUCGACGGGUAGCCGGCCUGAGAGGGUGGACGGCCACAUUGGGACUGAGAUACGGCCCAGACUCCUACGGGAGGCAGCAGUGGGGAAUAUUGCACAAUGGGCGCAAGCCUGAUGCAGCGACGCCGCGUGGGGGAUGACGGCCUUCGGGUUGUAAACUCCUUUCGUUAGGGACGAAGCCGCACCUUUUUUGGGUGUGGUGACGGUACCUUUGUGAAGAAGCACCGGCUAACUACGUG
rnacentral:rRNA from 1 species